UCCUUGGUGGUCCAGUGGGUAAAGACUCUGCACUCCCAAUGCAGGGGUCCCGGGUUCGAUCCCUGGUCAGGGAA